rnacentral:rRNA from 1 species
UACGUGGGGGGCUAGCGUUGUCCGGAAUCACUGGGCGUAAAGGGUUCGCAGGCGGCUUGUCAAGUCAGAUGUUAAAGGCAUAGGCUUAACCUGUGUAAGCAUUUGAAACUGGCAAGCUUGAGUGGUGGAAAGGUAAGUGGAAUUCCUAGUGUAGCGGUGAAAUGCGUAGAUAUUAGGAAGAAUACCGGUGGCGAAGGCGACUUACUGGACACACACUGACGCUGAGGAACGAAAGCGUGGGUAGCAAACAGG